UUUUGAAAUCAGCAAGCAUCAGGGAAAAAGAGCAGAUCUAAAUGCAGUCAGAGUCACCUGCCUUAGGAUCAGCAGCAAUUUUCCAUACAGACACUUUUCUACCACAGAGUGUUGACGCACUGAAGGAGAAACACCCUGUGGAAAUGUGGCAACACUGAUAAAGUUUUCAAAGAAUAUUAAAUAUCUUUCUGCCUUCUUUCUGACCGGUUUGGCUACCAGCCUCUUCACCCCUCAGUAGGUCACCCACAGGCUGCAAUAAUGCAAGGCUUCCAGGUUCCCUUUGGAACUGAAAUGACAUGAAGCAGUGUUUCACUUCCAUUAGAUGUUCUUUUAGCCUCUUGGAAUUUUGUCCUCUUUGCUGGAUGGAUUUAUUUCAAGGUUUGCAGGCAAGCAGCAAUUGCUCUCUAGAUCAGGCCUUGAUCAGAACUGCUGUGGGCAUAUCUACUCUACAACGUACAUAAAAUCAAUAGAAAGGGUGAGAGGAGAUGCUUUCUUGUAGUUUGUGGUGUUCUGCCUCUUCUCAGGCAUGAAAUAAAUACUGUAAAAAUUGUACAAGACCGGAUGCAGAAUGAACCUUGCGUAUAUUAGACUGGGCAGGGUAUAGGUGCUAUUUUAGACAGAGCAUAAUUCUAAGCCUUUGAAACAUUUUUGAAUAUAAAGAAAAUGUGUGUUUUUUAGGUAUGUUAUUUAGUUAGUAAAAAAGAAGUAAAGCAAUUUAUGAGAGUGUAAUAUUUCAGUGUGUCUACAGUACUUAUUAUGUGUGCUUUCUUUCUUGUCUUACCAAUGAGAAGAAAGGUUCAUGACUGAAGAUCUCAUUAUAUAUUAUUCAACUUCUAUAAUUUUAAUAUUCAAACAUCUCUGCAAUGACUUGAUUUAUGCAAAGAAUCUGUCUUAAAAGUAUUGCUUAUUCUUAGGGAACAGUUUUUCUUAGUGUCUAUCGUAUCUCCUGACUUCCGACUCUUUUCUCUCAAUAUUACUCUAAAUUUUGUAGCAUCCAUUCUUAAUAUGUACUUGUGUUAUUACCACCUAAUCAUACAUUUUCUCUGCUUAAAUAAUAGUACUUGUUGGAGAAUAAUCAACUGUUAUCAUCUCUUGCUAAACAGAAAACAUUAACAAGAGAGUGUGGACAAUGGUUCAGAAAUCGCCCCUUUUACUCCACUGCAAAUGGGGAAAUAGCAGCCUGACAGGCUGGAUCAUGUAGCCAGAAGGAGUCUCAUGAAAUUUAGCAAAGGAGAAUGCUGAGUCCUGCACAUGACGAGGAAUAGACUUAUGAAGUUUAACAACAGGAAAUACAAAGUCCUGGACAGCAGGAGAAACAACCCUAUGCACCAGCAUAAGCUCAGGGCCAAGUGGCUGGUGAGAAGCUCUGCAGACAAAGGCCUGGGGAUCCUGAUGGAGAAGAAGUUUGAAAUGAGCCAACAGUGUGCCUGUGUCACACAGGCUAUAUUAAGAAAGCUGUUUCCAGCAGGUUAAGGAAGGUAAUCAGCACUGGUAAGACAGAUCACAGAAUCACAGAAUAAGCUGAGUUGGAAGGGACUCAUAAGGAUCAUUGAAUCCAACCAUUAGCACUGCACAGGACCAUCCACAAGAGCAACAACGUGUGCCUGAGAGUAUCUGGUAUGCUGUGCCUGGUUUUGGGCUCCUCAGUGCAAGAAGGGCAUGGACAUACUAUAGUACACCCAGCAAAGGGUCACAAAGAUGAAUUGGAGCAUGUAUUAUCAUAACUUUAAAAUAGUAUUUGAUUUACAUAAUAUUUCUUUUAUUUGUUUCAUUUGCUUUUAUGUAUUGGUUUUGUUUAUUAUUUAUUUUCUAUCUAUUUAUUUUCUUUCUAAUUUCACUGGCAAAAUAAAUUUUAUGAUGUAAAACAGUAAUAUAUCAAACCAAAGCAAUAGGCAUAAGUAGAAAUAACAAUGAUUUUGUUUUUACCUUUGUUCUUUUGAGAGCUAGUUUAGCUGAGGAGUGUGAUAUUACCUCUCUUUUUAUUUUAAAAAAUGGCAAAAAAUUUCAAUGUUUCGAAAAACGAAGAGGGUUGGCAUGCCUUCAGAACUACCAUCACAUAAUCUGUAAAAUUUGAAAUGUAUGACACAGCAUUUGAUUUUAGAAUGAGCUGUUAUUACAUGAAGAUUGAGCACACAAUAAAAUAAUUAUGAAAAUGAGUAUUCCAUUGUUGUGAUAUAUAGUUUAAGAAUAAUUUUAAAUCAUAUAAAUAUAUUGCUUUCUUUGGACGUCUCUGUUGGAAAAGUGUUUCAGCAAAAGAUGGGGUAGAGUUAGGAAAAUGAGAGAUGUAGCAAACUCUUAAAUGUACUUUCCACACUAAGCAAAUAAAAUCCAAGUUUGUUGUAGCCUAAAGCCAAAUGUCAAGCUUUAUCUUCGCCCUCAGAUGGCAGCUAAAAAGGAACCACAGAGUUUUAAGACACAGGAUCCUACAGGCAGAGCUCAAGCUUAUCAACAGAGAAUCUUUGUCCUCCUCUGUCUCACCUCAGUCUGUGGAGAAAUUGCCUGCGUUUUACGGAGACAGUAGGAAGCAGCCAGUGGAUGCAAUUGUGUUUCCACCUUCAUUUGCUCAAGCACCACUCCUGCAUAGAGGAU